rnacentral:rRNA from 1 species
UUUGCCUACGGGGCGCAGCAGUAGGGAAUCUUCCACAAUGGGCGAAAGCCUGAUGGAGCAACGCCGCGUGGGUGAAGAAGGUCUUCGGAUCGUAAAACCCUGUUGUUAGAGAAGAAAGUGCGUGAGAGUAACUGUUCACGUUUCGACGGUAUCUAACCAGAAAGCCACGGCUAACUACGUGCCAGCAGCCGCGGUAAUACGUAGGUGGCAAGCGUUAUCCGGAUUUAUUGGGCGUAAAGGGAACGCAGGCGGUCUUUUAAGUCUGAUGUGAAAGCCUUCGGCUCAACCGGAGAAUUGCAUCAGAA